UACGGGGGGGGCAAGCGUUGUUCGGAAUUACUGGGCGUAAAGGGUUUGUAGGUGGCUUGUUAAGUCAGACGUGAAAUCCCUCAGCUUAACUGGGGAACUGCGUCUGAUACUGGCGAGCUUGAGUGCAGGAGAGGAACGCGGAAUUCCAGGUGUAGCGGUGAAAUGCGUAGAUAUCUGGAGGAACACCGGUGGCGAAGGCGGCGUUCUGGACUGCAACUGGCACUGAGAAACGAAAGCCAGGGUAGCAAACGGG
rnacentral:rRNA from 1 species